rnacentral:misc_RNA from 1 species
GAUGAAGAACGCAGCGAAAUGCGAUAAGUAAUGUGAAUUGCAGAAUUCAGUGAAUCAUCGAAUCUUUGAACGCACAUUGCGCCCGUCAGUAUUCUGGCGGGCAUGCCUGUUCGAGCGUCAUUACGCCCCUCAAGUCCCCUGUGGACUUGGUGUUGGGGAUCGGCGAGGCUGGUUUUCCAGCACAGCCGUCCCUUAAAUUAAUUGGCGGUCUCGCCGUGGCCCUCCUCUGCGCAGUAGUAAACCACUCGCAACAGGAGCCCGGCGCAGUCCACUGCCGUAAAACCCCCCAACUUUUUAUAGUUGACCUCGAAUCAGGUAGGACUACCCGCUGAACUUAAGCAUAUCAAUAAGCGGAGGA